rnacentral:rRNA from 1 species
GACGAACGCUGGCGGCGUGCUUAACACAUGCAAGUCGAGCGGUAAGGCCCUUUCGGGGGUACACGAGCGGCGAACGGGUGAGUAACACGUGGGUGACCUGCCCUCAGCUCUGGGAUAAGCCUGGGAAACUGGGUCUAAUACUGGAUAUGACUCCACGGUGCAUGUCGUGGGGUGGAAAGCCUUGUGCGGCUGAGGAUGGGCCCGCGGCCUAUCAGCUUGUUGGUGGGGUGAUGGCCUACCAAGGCGACGACGGGUAGCCGGCCUGAGAGGGCGACCGGCCACACUGGGACUGAGACACGGCCCAGACUCCUACGGGAGGCAGCAGUGGGGAAUCUUGCGCAAUGGGCGAAAGCCUGAUGCAGCGACGCCGCGUGAGGGAUGAC